UGCAACAUAUAAUCGAGAUGUAUACAUGGCCAGGUACACAUGCAUAACGGUAAGUCUCUAUAGGGACUUUCAUGCUGUAGGAUCAUGAUGAUUCGCAGAGCUUCCAAAGAUGAUCAUCAUAUUCUUAUGGCAAAUUUUCACUUACAUUACCCAAUUGCAAAUUUAGACCUUCAGUCAUGAUGACUCGCAGAGCUUUGAAAGGUUGGAUGUUGCAGCUGCUGAUGAAUUUCUCAGAGGAUAGUGCUCAAAUGGUUGCUGAUAAGGGAAUCUGUUGUCUUCACAAAUCUGAUAACAGGGAUCAGGGAUGUUAGGAAUAGGGUUGCGACUCAAGAAGCUAUGGAACAACAGACGACACGCAUAACGUCACAAAAACAGGGAUGCAUGCAACUUUAAAUGUCCGACCAACUAUUUUAGCUACUGCCUACCGUACUGAAAGGUGCUAUAAUAAGUCGAAAUAACUCGAGGUGGAAGACAGUGAGGAAAACAAGCAACAAAGAGAGUUUUCCAUAUCAAGUUUCUCGUACAUCAAGUGUUUGUUGAAAGUCCACAACCAGUUCAGUUGAUUUUUUUUUCCAUUACUAAUCCGUUGGAUAUUUCGGAAGAUUAAAUUAGACCGUUUGAUGUGUUCCAAUAAAUAUUUAAUAACACGUGAAACUCACGUGUUUAGUAGUAGCUG